rnacentral:snoRNA from 1 species
UCCCUCCAGAUUCGGUACCUCUCGGAUUUAAAUAGUGAUCCGAGUGGCUUAAAAAGGAGGAAAAGUAAAACGGAGUAGACUUGCAGUCUUUAAUGAUAUACAAGUUCAUUUCAAACAUAA